UACAGAGGUCUCAAGCGUUGUUCGGAUUCAUUGGGCGUAAAGGGUGCGUAGGUGGCAUGGUAAGUUGAAGGUGAAAUCUCAGGGCUCAACCCUGAAACUGCACUCGAUACUGCUCUGCUUGAGGACUGGAGAGGAGACUGGAAUUCACGGUGUAGCAGUGAAAUGCGUAGAUAUCGUGAGGAAGACCAGUGGCGAAGGCGGGUCUCUGGACAGUUCCUGACGCUGAGGCGCGAAGGCCAGGGGAGCAAACGGG
rnacentral:rRNA from 1 species